GGCGGCGUGCUUAACACAUGCAAGUCGAACGAAGAAGGUUAGAAUGAGAGCUUCGGCAGGAUUUCUUUCCAUCUUAGUGGCGGACGGGUGAGUAACGUGUGGGCAACCUGCCCUGUACUGUGGAAUAAUCAUUGGAAACGAUGACUAAUACCGCAUGUGGUCCUCGGAAGGCAUCUUCUGAGGAAGAAAGGAUUUAUUCGGUACAGGAUGGGCCCGCAUCUGAUUAGCUAGUUGGUGAGAUAACAGCCCACCAAGGCGACGAUCAGUAGCCGACCUGAGAGGGUGAUCGGCCACAUUGGGACUGAGACACGGCCCAAACUCCUACGGGAGGCAGCAGUGGGGAAUAUUGCACAAUGGGCGAAAGCCUGAUGCAGCAACGCCGCGUGAAGGAUGAAGGGUUUCGGCUCGUAAACUUCUAUCAAUAGGGAAGAAACAAAUGACGGUACCUAAAUAAGAAGCCCCGGCUAACUACGUGCCAGCAGCCGCGGUAAUACGUAGGGGGCAAGCGUUAUCCGGAAUUACUGGGUGUAAAGGGAGCGUAGGCGGCAUGGUAAGCCAGAUGUGAAAGCCUUGGGCUUAACCCGAGGAUUGCAUUUGGAACUAUCAAGCUAGAGUACAGGAGAGGAAAGCGGAAUUCCUAGUGUAGCGGUGAAAUGCGUAGAUAUUAGGAAGAACACCAGUGGCGAAGGCGGCUUUCUGGACUGAAACUGACGCUGAGGCUCGAAAGCGUGGGAGCAAACAGGAUUAGAUACCCUGGUAGUCCACGCCGUAAACGAUGAGUGCUAGGUGUCGGGGAGGAAUCCUCGGUGCCGCAGCUAACGCAAUAAGCACUCCACCUGGGGAGUACGACCGCAAGGUUGAAACUCAAAGGAAUUGACGGGGGCCCGCACAAGCGGUGGAGCAUGUGGUUUAAUUCGAAGCAACGCGAAGAACCUUACCAAGGCUUGACAUCCCGAUGACCGUCCUAGAGAUAGGACUUCUCUUCGGAGCAUCGGUGACAGGUGGUGCAUGGUUGUCGUCAGCUCGUGUCGUGAGAUGUUGGGUUAAGUCCCGCAACGAGCGCAACCCUUAUCUUCAGUAGCCAUCAUUCAGUUGGGCACUCUGGAGAGACUGCCGUGGAUAACACGGAGGAAGGUGGGGAUGACGUCAAAUCAUCAUGCCCCUUAUGUCUUGGGCUACACACGUGCUACAAUGGCUGGUAACAAAGUGACGCAAGACGGCGACGUUAAGCAAAUCACAAAAACCCAGUCCCAGUUCGGAUUGUAGUCUGCAACUCGACUACAUGAAGCUGGAAUCGCUAGUAAUCGCGAAUCAGCAUGUCGCGGUGAAUACGUUCCCGGGCCUUGUACACACCGCCCGUCACACCAUGGGAGUUGGAGGCACCCGAAGUCGGUGACCUAACCGUAAGGAAGGAGCCGCCGAAGGUGAAGCCAGUGACUGGGGUGAAGU
rnacentral:rRNA from 1 species